rnacentral:rRNA from 1 species
GACGGGGGAUGCAAGCGUUAUCCGGAAUCACUGGGCGUAAAGCGUCUGUAGGUGGUGAUGCAAGUCACUGGUGCAAAACUCUGGCUCAACCGGAGGAAAGCCAGUGAAACUGCAUGACUAGAGUGUGGGAGAGGUAGAAGGAAUUCCCUGAGUAGCGGUGAAAUGCGUAGAUACAGGGAAGAACACCGGAGGCGAAAGCGUUAUACUGGAACACAACUGACCUUGAGAGGCGAAAGCUAGGGGAGCGAAUGGG